AGAAAGCUGAAGAAGAAAGAAGUAGUACAGGCAUUGAAGAGAUGAGGAAAGUUGGUUUUGGUGCUUCUUCAAGUGGAAUAUGGAGCAAUAAAAAGGUUCAUCCAGGUAAUUAUUUUCCACCAGCCACUUCCUCUGCUGGAAAACAAGGAGAAUAAUGUCGGGAAAAUGGAAGCUGUCUUCAUUUAAUUUGUACAAUAUAAUGCUUAUUGAGCUGCUAUAUUGUGAAGUUUGUAUAUAUAUAUUAUUGAAGGUGUGGGGUGAUUUGGGUUUUCAUUUCUA
rnacentral:misc_RNA from 1 species